rnacentral:lncRNA from 1 species
CCUGGUAUUACAGGUGUGGGCCACUGCCCUUGGUUGGAAACAGGGCCUUUGAAGAGACAAUUGAGGUUACAUGAGGUUAUGCCAGGUGCUAAUCCACGUGGGUGCUUUUUUGAGAGAGGGGGUUUCAAAGAGAUGAUUAAGUUAAAUGGAGACUGUUAAAACGGUUAAACUGUGGACCCUAAUCCAGUGUGACCUGUGUCCUUAUAGAAAGAGAGACACGAGGGCACCUGUGCACCAGGGGAAGAGACAGAAGAGGGCAGCCAGGCCAUCUGCAAGCAAGGAUGGAGGCCUUGGAGGAAACCAAGCCCACUGCCACCUUGAUCAUGGACUUCCAGCAUCUAGGCUGCACAGUUUUGUGAGGGCUAUCCUGGAACUGCCUGGUGAAGCUGUGUGAAAGAAUCCCAGGCUGUUCACUUUUUACCAAACAAGCUUCUUUCUCCUCUUCCUUUCUUUGUUCCUAGUACAGCCUCCUUCAGGUCAUUAAAAUUCUAGUUCUGCUGAUCUUACAUCUUCUAAAACACCAGAAGAAACAGCACCUCCUGGCUCAUGGAGACUGUGAAUCUUCAGAGAUCACCCUGAUCUUUACAGUGCCUCCUUCCUGAUCUUUCACGCACAAAUAACAAAUACCAUGAAGAGAAUAGAAACUUAAAAAUAAAUAAACUACUUGGAG